rnacentral:rRNA from 1 species
AAUGCCUUCAGUUACGGCGAGUGAGCGGCAAAAGCUCAAUUUGAAAUCUAGUACCUUCGGUGCUCGAGUUGUAAUUUGAAGGUAGUUUUCUGGUGCUGGCCCUUGUCUAUGUUCCUUGGAACAGGACGUCAUAGAGGGUGAGAAUCCCGUCUGAUGGGGUGUCCAGUGCUUUGUAGAUUUCUACCGAAGAGUCGAGUUGUUUGGGAAUGCAGCUCUAAGUGGGUGGUAUAUUCCAUCUAAAGCUAUUUACUGGUGAGAGACCG